rnacentral:lncRNA from 10 species
CUGGCGUGGCGGCUGUGCUGCCAGGACAAUAGCUGGCUGGGGAAGUCAGGCUCGGGCCUUUCUGAGAUGCUCGAGAGAGGCAUGAGUGGAGGUGGGGAGAGAUGGCCAAGAGGCUGCUGAGAGAGCAACUCACAUGGGCUACAAGUGCAGAGGAGGCAGGGCAUAGAGGACGCUAGGAUCUGGGUCGGGACAAAGGAAAUGCAGGCUCUGCUACCAGACUGUGGACCUGGAACCCACUUGCAUCUGAAUCCCCUGGAGAACUUGUAAAGUGUAGAUACCCAAGCCUACCUCCCAGAAAUACUAAUCUAGGAGGUUUUCAGAUGGGGCUUCAAAACCUGCCUUUUGACAAGGCCCUCCGGUGGUCAUUUUUAUGCCCACAUGCUUUGGGGAGGGAGAAAAAUCCAUGGAAAAUUAGAAAAUGUUUUGGAGGCCGGGUGUAGUGGAUCAUACCUGUAAUCCCAGCACUUUCGGAGGCCAAGGCAGGAGGAUUGCUUGAGUUCAGGAGUUUGAGACCACCCGGGACAACAUAUUGAGACCCCGUCUUUAUAAAAAAUUUAAACCUUAUCUGGACAUGGUGGUGUGCGCCUGUAGUCCCAGUUACUUGGGAGGCUGAGGUGGGAGGAUCACUUGAGCCCAGGAUGCUGCAGUGAGCUGUGUUCUCACCACUGCACUCCAGCCUGGGCAACAGAGCAAGACUCUGUCUCGAAAAACAAACAAAAAAAGGCAAAACGGGCUGGGCACGGGCUCACGCCUGUAAUGCCAGAACUUUGUGAGGCCAAGGCAGGCAGAUUGCUUGAGCUCAGGAGUUUGAGAAAAGCCUGGCCAACAUGACAAAACCCUGUCUCUACUAAAAAUACAAAAAUUGGCAGAACGUGGUGGUGCGCACCUGUGGUCCCAGCUACUCCAGAGACUGAGGUAGGAGGAUUGCU